rnacentral:rRNA from 1 species
UGGGGAAUAUUGCACAAUGGGCGCAAGCCUGAUGCAGCGACGCCGCGUGAAGGAUGAAGUAUUUCGGUAUGUAAACUUCUAUCAGCAGGGAAGAAAAUGACGGUACCUGACUAAGAAGCCCCGGCUAACUACGUGCCAGCAGCCGCGGUAAUACGUAGGGGGCAAGCGUUAUCCGGAUUUACUGGGUGUAAAGGGAGCGCAGGCGGGCGAUCAAGUUGGAAGUGAAAUCCAUGGGCUCAACCCAUGAACUGCUUUCAAAACUGGUCGUCUUGAGUAGUGCAGAGGUAGGCGGAAUUCCCGGUGUAGCGGUGGAAUGCGUAGAUAUCGGGAGGAACACCAGUGGCGAAAGCGGCCUACUGGGCACCAACUGACGCUGAGGCUCGAAAGUGUGGGUAGCAAACAGGAUUAGAUACCCUGGUAGUCCACACCGUAAACGAUGAUUACUAGGUGUUGGGAGAUUGACCCUCUCAGUGCCGCAGUUAACACAAUAAGUAAUCCACCUGGGGAGUACGACCGCAAGGUUGAAACUCAAAGGAAUUGACGGGGGCCCGCACAAGCAGUGGAGUAUGUGGUUUAAUUCGACGCAACGCGAAGAACCUUACCAAGUCUUGACAUCCUCUGACGAACGUAGAAAUACGUUUUCUCUUCGGAGCAGAGAGACAGGUGGUGCAUGGUUGUCGUCAGCUCGUGUCGUGAGAUGUUGGGUUAAGUCCCGCAACGAGCGCAACCCUUAUGGUCAGUUACUACGCAAGAGGACUCUGGCCAGACUGCCGUUGACAAAACGGAGGAAGGUGGGGAUGACGUCAAAUCAUCAUGCCCUUUAUGACUUGGGCUACACACGUACUACAAUGGCGUUAAACAAAGAGAAGCAAGACCGCGAGGUGGAGCAAAACUCAGAAACAACGUCCCAGUUCGGACUGCAGGCUGCAACUCGCCUGCACGAAGUCGGAAUUGCUAGUAAUCGUGGAUCAGCAUGCCACGGUGAAUACGUUCCC